rnacentral:rRNA from 1 species
UACGAAGGGGGCUAGCGUUGCUCGGAAUCACUGGGCGUAAAGCGCACGUAGGUGGCUUUCUAAGUCAGGGGUGAAAUCCUGGAGCUCAACUCCAGAACUGCCUUUGAUACUGGAGAGCUUGAGUCCGGAAGAGGUGAGUGGAACUCCGAGUGUAGAGGUGAAAUUCGUAGAUAUUCGGAAGAACACCAGUGGCGAAGGCGGCUCACUGGUCCGGUACUGACGCUGAUGUGCGAAAGCGUGGGGAGCAAACAGG